CAGUAGCCGCGGUAAUACGAAGGGGGCUAGCGUUGUUCGGAUUUACUGGGCGUAAAGCGCACGUAGGCGGAUCCUUAAGUCAGAGGUGAAAUCCCAAGGCUCAACCUUGGAACUGCCUUUGAUACUGGGGAUCUCGAGUUCGGGAGAGGUGAGUGGAGCUGCGAGUGUAGAGGUGAAAUUCGUAGAUAUUCGCAAGAACACCAGUGGCGAAGGCGGCUACCUGGACUGACGCUGACACUGAGGCGCGAAAGCGUGGGGAGCAAACAGGAUUAGAUACCCCUGUAGUCCCUGUCUCUUAUAC
rnacentral:rRNA from 1 species